rnacentral:tRNA from 1 species
UCCCUGGUAGUCUAGCGGUUACGAUUCAGAGCUUUCAUUGUUGUGGCCCAGGUUCAACCCCUGGUUGGGGAA